GAUCUGCAGCUCGCUGUCAUCUUGCAGCUUGUCAGACGAGGGACGCCGUGGAAUUAGGUUAUCUUUUGGAGGCUCCGCGUCGCCGGGAUCUGAAACCGGCGCCAUCCAUCCAAGUGGAUCUGGCUCUAGAUACGAAAGUGAGGCCAGAUUCGUCAGUCGCCAUCCUCAGGCACGUCGUCGGUGCCUGAGAUUCCGGCCAAGUCCACGCUCGCCGGGCAUCCGGCUCUCCUUAUUUUUUCUGGCGCUUUGUGGUAUGGUUAUGACUGUCAAUUUUUGCAGUUCAAAAUCUGCUUGUGUUUGGCGAAUUAAAAAUUGUAGACAUCUUCUAGUAUUUAAGGUAUUGUUGCUUCUAUGCUUUCUAAUUUUAGUUGUGCAAAACACCGUGAGAUAAUGAAAAAUAAGAUCGACCUGGCACUAGCUUUUCCUGCUUGCAGGCUGCGAUCAUGUAAUAUGUCACUGACCUCCAACAGACCAAUGGUGCUAAAGGGCACAUGUGCUGAAAAAUACCCUAAUCUGCCAUAUGCUAGUUAUACUUAUAUAGCUUAUCUGCAGUGUGUGAUUCUCCUUUUUUUUUCUUCUCUAGUAUCUUUGACAUCUUGGUGUUUUAUCUUCUCAGCUGUAGUAAUUUCAUGAGGCUUACUUCAUGUUUUGUGAAUUUAAAUAUACAGGCCUGCUGAAUCAGCUUCUUCUGAGCUUCGGUCCUCUGUUUGGGCGGAUGACAUCUGUAAUUUCAUGGGUUCCGCAAAGAGGCACUGUACAGAAAAGAGCAAGAUACCUGUAGAUAGGGACGUAAUCAGAAAACAGCUAAUAAGUGAUUCUGGAAGAGUAUUUAAGUCAAAAAUUCCGGAGCAGAUAAGGGAAGACCUGAUUCAAUCCUUUAUAUUAUACUUCCAUGACAUAUUUGAUGGAUGCUAAAGCUUUUUCGUGGAAUUUUUUCUAAAGGUAAUAAUAAUAAUAAGCUUACCAAUAUUUUUUCACAACCGGUGCAAACAUAAUCUUACUGAAAAUUCCAUGUCUCAUGCGGAAAUGCAUGUUUUUGGUUAUGGUGAUGAUCCUAUUGUCCAGUUGGUAUAUUUACAAUAUUGCCCUUCAGUACUAACAGGUUGCCGUGCUUCACUAUGUAGGUGGCGGUGGAAUCCUGUUGGUCUACUACUCUACUACGAGCUACUUGUGCCUUCUGCUGCUUAUUUUUUUUAGGAAAUUUUUGUUUUCUAAGAUGAGAUGAGAAGUAGAGUGGCCAACUCAGUUUGCUUUCGUUCUAUAUGCUAUGGGCUUGUAACCCCAGUCUCGUUCCACCCCUUCUGUUUGUACUAUGCAGCAAAUUAUCUCUGUCUUUCUAAUAGACAUACCAUAGAUGGUACACUAUGAGUUACCACAAUGUACUCUAUGGAACAGUAUCAAAGGACAAAAUGCUUAAGAAAAUUUUCCUUUAUCCAA